UACGUAGGGUGCAAGCGUUGUCCGGAAUUAUUGGGCGUAAAGAGCUCGUAGGCGGUCUGUCGCGUCGGAUGUGAAAACCCAGGGCUCAACCCUGGGCCUGCAUUCGAUACGGGCAGACUAGAGUUCGGUAGGGGAGACUGGAAUUCCUGGUGUAGCGGUGAAAUGCACAGAUAUCAGGAGGAACACCGGUGGCGAAGGCGGGUCUCUGGGCCGAAACUGACGCUGAGGAGCGAAAGCGUGGGGAGCAAACAGG
rnacentral:rRNA from 1 species